GGGACAGAGAGGAACCAAUUCAGGAGGCGGGGAGGUGGCUUAGUGUCCUAGAUCAACCACGACGCCCUCCAGGGGAAGACGGCCACGUGAGGCUGUGUGUGGAGCCGACCAGCCCAGCAGCCACCGUGGACACAGCACCGCCUCAGAACUGACUGUUGUUGCUGUGUUCUUUCCCAGGAGAGCAGAGAGCUGUUUCCGUACCUAUUCAUUCACCAAACAUUCCUCUGAGCAUCCCACUGCUGUGAGAAGUCGUGAGAACUCCUUGGAGGGGCUGUGACUUAUGCAAGUUGUGACUACAUGCAAAUGCCACACGGAAUCUAAAGAACCAGGCUGGCGCGGCAGAGCCCAGGCGACUGGCGGGGGAUAAACCAAAGCGGCUAGCAAAAGAAAAAGCUUCUCUUAACAAGUUUCCGCUGCAGGUAUUGGUUUUCUUCGAACAAGUUGCAGUUAAGUCGACUUGAGCAGCCUGCCGUGUGGAGACACCGUCUCGAGGCCCCGGGCACUGAGGCCAUCCCCCCACAUUACCUUCUGAACCAGACGUUCAAUCUUCUGUCCAGUGGUUGUUGUCACGGCUCUUUUCAGACUCUCAGAGCAAGCUAAGGAAGCUAGUGCGCUCUCCGGCAAGCUGCUGGGUGUGGAUGGACAGCCGCCAGGCUCUCACGCCCAUACUGCAAGGGAAUGAGGAGCUGGGACAUCCAAGAUACACCCACCUACCCGCUGGCACUACAGAGACCCGCCACCCUGCUGCAAAGCUGUUGACAGUACCACCUCCAGCUCCCUGGGCAAACAGGAGAUGUGGGAGGAGUUGGAGGUUGGAGGAUGGGGAAGGGCCCAGAUGGUGCAGCGACAGGGCCCAGCUGAGAUCCAAGGCCGUACUGAAUGACGCUUUCCUGAGAGGGGAGCGUGUGUUCCCCGCAGACAGCUCCUCCUGUGCCUUCGCGCUCUGUCCUCACAAAGGGAGCCGUGAGGAUGCAUGGGGAGGGCCUUUCCCUCACCCACCCAUCUUCUUCCAGCAUUGGUCAUCGUUAGCCGGGGUCUGGUGGCUCUGCUGAACCUGCCCCCUCCAAGUUUUGUCUGUGACAUCUGCAGUUGAGUUCCAUCCUCCAGGAAGCAGACUCACCAGCUAGGACCAAGGAAGCUGUGUUUAAAAGAAGCAUCGCCCCAGGGACUCCCAGGCAGCUGGGCAGGGGCAAGUUUAUAGAAAACAUUGGACUAGGCUGAAUGCCUGCAGAUGUAGGGUUGGCAGAGGAGGAAGGGGCGAACCGAAUAAAGCCGCCUGUCCUAGAUGGGAAGGAAGAUCAUGCACAAAUGGAUGAUGUAUACAUCCUACAAAUGCUGGGGAAGCCCCGUGGGCUGGCCCCUGCACUUGCAUCAAAUGACCUUGGAGCAAAUGUCUCCAUCAAUGUUCUACCUUGGACUCCUCACUUGCCUUCUUCAAAGCCCUGGUGUCAACAGCCAAGCCCAGCAAACAGAAAGCAGAUGGUGUUUGGUGAGAGAGUAAAUGUAUGUACUUAACAGCCAUACACCGAGUGAUGGGGUGAAUGUCCUUCUGUAUAUGUGUUUCUCUUAUUGGUUGAUGAGUAAAACACUGUUGGCCAACAGGGCAGCAAGAUAGGCGGGGCUAGGAGACGAUAAGAAUUCUGGGAAACGUAGUCAGGUCAGACGCCACGUGAGACCACACAGGGGUAAGAGGUCAGGACCCUUCUCUGGUAAGAUGAGACCAUGUGGAAAUAUUUAGAUUAAUAGAGAUGGGUUAAUAAUUAAGACAGAGCUAGCCAAUAAGAAGCCCAAGUCACCU